GCUGGCGGAGCUGCGGCCGGAAAGGAGGGGGCGGGGCGGCAGGUGGAGGGAGAGCACCUGAGGGGAGGAGGGAGGGGCUGUGUAUUGUGUGUGGGACGUCGUGUGUUGGACGUCGUGUGUCUGCCCGGAGCUGUGUCGGCUUUGGCUUAUGGUGAGCCCGGGGUCAGGUGCCAGAAGCAAUUAACAUCACGGCAAAUCCAAGGAAGUGAAGUGUCCUCCGUUCUGAUUCUCGCUAUUUAUCACCAGGAACGGCUCCGCGUUGUAUUUCUUCGUGCAGACCUGGACAGCAGUGCGGUGUCGUGGUGCUGACCAUACCAGGUUCCGCUCAGAUCUGACCUGUUGAAAUGUGGCACUUAUUUCUGAGCUGCUCAAUUUUUGAGACUCUGAAAUUUGGUGCAGUCACACUCUGUGAUGAUGUUUGAUGCAGAGUAUGAUCCAGUGUGAGCGUGAGGCUUCUGCAUCUCCUCGCUUAUCUUCACGUGGGACUGGAAUUGAAAGGCACAGUAACAAGAGCUAACAGCGAGCAGCCACUAAAUUUCAACAGAGCUGCCUCCCUAAACGGCAAAAUAAAUCUGCGAGGAUGAAGAUCUCCAAAGAACUGUAGUCAGGGUCUUAUGAGAGUGAAGGGAAGCAGGAAUCAGGCAUCUUAAGUAAUUGGAUCAUAGAGAUUUCAACUAGACAGAAAAUCGAAUGGUGAAUUCAGUGCAGGGAUGGGACAGGAAGAGAAAUACAAAGCCAGACAACUCAGAGAGGGCAGACCACAAUAUAUAAUGCCUUUUUUGUCUGGCUGGAGAGCCCAGUGAACAGAAAACAAUAGGACCAUGAAGUCCUAAUCUUCAGCUCUCUGCUGCCAACAUGAAGCACCACUGCUGCAUUUCUAAGUUAAAUAAAAACAAAAUCUGUUUUCCAUCCUCCAUCAUAAAGGAAGACCAAAAAAUGUAUGCCAACACAAUAUACUACUUGGGUACCAUGCAGUGUUGGUACAUUACACAUCUCCCUUUCUGUGGUCAGACUUUUAGUGAUAGUGAUAAAGCAACUGAAGACUAUACUGAAAUUUAGAAGCCUUCCUCCUCAAAAAGUAUAGAUGCAUUAAAACUAAUGGUAGUUGAAUAUUGGAAAGAAGGUUAUAUACCUACCCUUUGCUUUUAGGCUAAUUUUAAUUGCAUUGGUUUGGCUGUGCCCAUGUGUGAAUACUUGUGCCUGUACGGAUGAUGGUAGAAACAAGUAGCUGAUGAUGGAGAAAAGGGUGGUGAGACUGGUUUUAUUAUUUUCAGCAGUGCUGGCUUAAAGUUAUCUCUUAGGUUUAGCUGUAAAGCAGAAAUCGUAUUAGGGUCUCAAUCUUUUUCUCAUCUACUCGUGUACAAUUCUGUUUACCUCAGCAGGAGAUUUGUAUGUAGAACUGAUUGGAAAAUUGGGCCUUAGAUAACUACAGUGUGCUUUGCUUACAUCAGCAGGGUUAAAAAUUCACCAAAUCUGGAGUCGGGAAGGAAUUUCCCCCAUGAGCAUAAUGUCAGCAACAUAAUCAGGGCUUGGGAACAAUCUGUUAGCACACAGAGAAGGGAUUAUGGUAGGACCAGCCCCUCAGAUAAUGCUCAGGCAGGAGUGUGGAAAUCCAACGAGCCUCUGUAUGUAUAUAUUGAGAGGA